rnacentral:rRNA from 1 species
AGUGAACGCUGGCGGUAGGCCUAACACAUGCAAGUCGAACGGCAGCACAGUAAGAGCUUGCUCUUACGGGUGGCGAGUGGCGGACGGGUGAGGAAUACAUCGGAAUCUACUUUUUCGUGGGGGAUAACGUAGGGAAACUUACGCUAAUACCGCAUACGACCUACGGGUGAAAGCAGGGGAUCUUCGGACCUUGCGCGAGUGAAUGAGCCGAUGUAGGAUUAGCUAGUUGGCGGGGUAAAGGCCCACCAAGGCGACGAUCCGUAGCUGGUAUGAGAGGGUGAUCAGCCACACUGGAACUGAGACACGGUCCAGACUCCUACGGGAGGCAGCAGUGGGGAAUAUUGGACACUGGGCGCAAGCCUGAUCCAGCCAUACCGAGUGGGUGAAGAAGGCAUUCGGGUUGUAAAGCCCUUUUGUUGGGAAAGAAAAGCAGCAGGUUAAUACCCCGCUGUUCUGACGGUACCCAAAGAAUAAGCACCGGCUAACUUCGUG